rnacentral:rRNA from 1 species
UUAAAGUCUAGCCUGCCCACUGAAAAAUUUUAAAUGGCCGCAGUAUAUUGACUGUGCAAAGGUAGCAUAAUCAUUAGUCUUUUAAUUGAAGGCUGGAAUGAAUGGUUGGACGAAAUAUUAACUGUUUCAUAAAAAUUUUUUAUAGAAUUUUAUUUUUUAGUCAAAAAGCUAAAAUUUAUUUAAAAGACGAGAAGACCCUAUAAAUCUUUAUAUUUUAAAAAUUUUUAAUUUUUAAGAUUAAUUUUAUUAUAAUUUUUUAAAAUAUUUUAUUGGGGUGAUAUUAAAAUUUAAUAAACUUUUAAUUUAUUAAGUCAUUAAUUUAUGAAUAAUUGAUCCAUUAAUAAUGAUUAAAAAUUUAAGUUACUUUAGGGAUAACAGCGUAAUUUUUUUGGAGAGUUCAUAUCGAUAAAAAAGAUUGCGACCUCGAUGUUGGAUUAAGAUAUAAUUUUGGGUGUAGCCGUUCAAAUUUUAAGUCUGUUCGACUUUUAAAUUCUUACAUGAUCUGAGUUCAGACCGGCGUAAGCCAGGUUGGUUUCUAUCUUUAAAAAUUUAUAAUAUUUUAGUACGAAAGGACCAAAUAUUAGAAUAAUUUAUAUUUUAUAAAAAGAAUAUUAAUAAUUAUA